rnacentral:rRNA from 1 species
UACGGGGGGGGCAAGCGUUGUUCGGCAUUACUGGGCGUAAAGGGCUCGUAGGCGGCCAACUAAGUCGGACGUGAAAUCCCCAGGCUCAACCUGGGAACUGCGUCCGAUACUGGAUGGCUUGAAUUCGGGAGAGGGAUGCAGAAUUCCAGGUGUAGCGGUGAAAUGCGUAGAUAUCUGGAGGAAUACCGGUGGCGAAGGCGGCAUCCUGGACCGACAUUGACGCUGAGGAGCGAAAGCUAGGGGAGCAAACGGG